rnacentral:other from 1 species
AACUUUUACAAGAUAUCAGCACUUUUCUUUCAUUGAGGGGAAGGUGUGAGUAAAGUACCAAACAGAAGCAGACUUUAAACUUUAAACUUUAAAUCGCCAGGUCUGAGUGUCUGAAAUUGCCUUUCAUUUCACUCCAUCCUCCACAGAGUUCCAUCAAUUGGAGUGCCUACUGCACUUCUUUAAAUGAAAGAGUAAGUUAAAAAG